GGGUUGUGAGGUUAAGCGACUAAGCGUACACGGUGGAUGCCCUGGCAGUCAGAGGCGAUGAAGGACGUGCUAAUCUGCGAUAAGCGUCGGUAAGGUGAUAUGAACCGUUAUAACCGGCGAUUUCCGAAUGGGGAAACCCAGUGUGUUUCGACACACUAUCAUUAACUGAAUCCAUAGGUUAAUGAGGCGAACCGGGGGAACUGAAACAUCUAAGUACCCCGAGGAAAAGAAAUCAACCGAGAUUCCCCCAGUAGCGGCGAGCGAACGGGGAGCAGCCCAGAGCCUGAAUCAGUGUGUGUGUUAGUGGAAGCGUCUGGAAAGGCGCGCGAUACAGGGUGACAGCCCCGUACACAAAAAUGCACAUGCUGUGAGCUCGAUGAGUAGGGCGGGACACGUGGUAUCCUGUCUGAAUAUGGGGGGACCAUCCUCCAAGGCUAAAUACUCCUGACUGACCGAUAGUGAACCAGUACCGUGAGGGAAAGGCGAAAAGAACCCCGGCGAGGGGAGUGAAAAAGAACCUGAAACCGUGUACGUACAAGCAGUGGGAGCCUCUUUAUGGGGUGACUGCGUACCUUUUGUAUAAUGGGUCAGCGACUUAUAUUCUGUAGCAAGGUUAACCGAAUAGGGGAGCCGAAGGGAAACCGAGUCUUAACUGGGCGUUAAGUUGCAGGGUAUAGACCCGAAACCCGGUGAUCUAGCCAUGGGCAGGUUGAAGGUUGGGUAACACUAACUGGAGGACCGAACCGACUAAUGUUGAAAAAUUAGCGGAUGACUUGUGGCUGGGGGUGAAAGGCCAAUCAAACCGGGAGAUAGCUGGUUCUCCCCGAAAGCUAUUUAGGUAGCGCCUCGUGAAUUCAUCUCCGGGGGUAGAGCACUGUUUCGGCAAGGGGGUCAUCCCGACUUACCAACCCGAUGCAAACUGCGAAUACCGGAGAAUGUUAUCACGGGAGACACACGGCGGGUGCUAACGUCCGUCGUGAAGAGGGAAACAACCCAGACCGCCAGCUAAGGUCCCAAAGUCAUGGUUAAGUGGGAAACGAUGUGGGAAGGCCCAGACAGCCAGGAUGUUGGCUUAGAAGCAGCCAUCAUUUAAAGAAAGCGUAAUAGCUCACUGGUCGAGUCGGCCUGCGCGGAAGAUGUAACGGGGCUAAACCAUGCACCGAAGCUGCGGCAGCGACGCUUAUGCGUUGUUGGGUAGGGGAGCGUUCUGUAAGCCUGUGAAGGUGUGCUGUGAGGCAUGCUGGAGGUAUCAGAAGUGCGAAUGCUGACAUAAGUAACGAUAAAGCGGGUGAAAAGCCCGCUCGCCGGAAGACCAAGGGUUCCUGUCCAACGUUAAUCGGGGCAGGGUGAGUCGACCCCUAAGGCGAGGCCGAAAGGCGUAGUCGAUGGGAAACAGGUUAAUAUUCCUGUACUUGGUGUUACUGCGAAGGGGGGACGGAGAAGGCUAUGUUGGCCGGGCGACGGUUGUCCCGGUUUAAGCGUGUAGGCUGAUUUUCCAGGCAAAUCCGGAAAAUCAAGGCUGAGGCGUGAUGACGAGGCACUACGGUGCUGAAGCAACAAAUGCCCUGCUUCCAGGAAAAGCCUCUAAGCAUCAGGUAACAUCAAAUCGUACCCCAAACCGACACAGGUGGUCAGGUAGAGAAUACCAAGGCGCUUGAGAGAACUCGGGUGAAGGAACUAGGCAAAAUGGUGCCGUAACUUCGGGAGAAGGCACGCUGAUAUGUAGGUGAAGUCCCUCGCGGAUGGAGCUGAAAUCAGUCGAAGAUACCAGCUGGCUGCAACUGUUUAUUAAAAACACAGCACUGUGCAAACACGAAAGUGGACGUAUACGGUGUGACGCCUGCCCGGUGCCGGAAGGUUAAUUGAUGGGGUCAGCGCAAGCGAAGCUCUUGAUCGAAGCCCCGGUAAACGGCGGCCGUAACUAUAACGGUCCUAAGGUAGCGAAAUUCCUUGUCGGGUAAGUUCCGACCUGCACGAAUGGCGUAAUGAUGGCCAGGCUGUCUCCACCCGAGACUCAGUGAAAUUGAACUCGCUGUGAAGAUGCAGUGUACCCGCGGCAAGACGGAAAGACCCCGUGAACCUUUACUAUAGCUUGACACUGAACAUUGAGCCUUGAUGUGUAGGAUAGGUGGGAGGCUUAGAAGUGUGGACGCCAGUCUGCAUGGAGCCGGCCUUGAAAUACCACCCUUUAAUGUUU
rnacentral:rRNA from 1 species